GGAUCUGCAAAACCCAAGAGACAACCAAAACUCUCUCUGCCUCUCUCUUGCUUCUGAUCUCUUUCACUUCUUCAAACAAAACCACCACCCCAGAAAACAACACAACCCACUCCCACAAACUAAUCAAACAUUUCUCUGAAACACAAAAUGAUGUCCUCAGAUAUCGCACCGCCGACGAAAGCAAAUUACAACGUAUUUUCCAUUGUCCGAGGAACCCAUUUAAAUCG
rnacentral:lncRNA from 1 species